GCAGAGUAGCCAAGCCGGGACGGGAUAAACGCUGAAGGCAUCUAAGCGUGAAGCCCCCCUCAAGAUGAGAUAUCCCAACGAAAGUUGUAAGACCCCUUGAAGACGACGAGGUAGAUAGGACAGAGGUGGAAGUGCAGUAAUGCAUGUAGCUGACUGUUACUAAUCGGUCGAGGGCAUAACCAA
rnacentral:rRNA from 1 species